rnacentral:rRNA from 1 species
GCAUAUCAAUAAGCGGAGGAAAAGAAACCAACAGGGAUUGCCCUAGUAACGGCGAGUGAAGCGGCAACAGCUCAAAUUUGAAAUCUGGCGCUUCCGGCGUCCGAGUUGUAAUUUGUAGAGGAUGCUUCUGGGCAGCCACCGGUCUAAGUUCCUUGGAACAGGACGUCAUAGAGGGUGAGAAUCCCGUAUGCGACCGGAGAGGCGCCCUAUACGUAGCUCCUUCGACGAGUCGAGUUGUUUGGGAAUGCAGCUCUAAAUGGGAGGUAAAUUUCUUCUAAAGCUAAAUAUUGGCCAGAGACCGAUAGCGCACAAGUAGAGUGAUCGAAAGAUGAAAAGCACUUUGGAAAGAGAGUUAAAAAGCACGUGAAAUUGUUGAAAGGGAAGGGAUUGCAACCAGACUUGCUCGCGGUGUUCCGCCGGUCUUCUGACCGGUCUACUCGCCGCGUUGCAGGCCAGCAUCGUCUGGGGCCGCCGGAUAAGACUUUGGGAAUGUAGCUCCCUCGGGAGUGUUAUAGCCCUUUGUGAUGCGGCGCGUCCCGGGCGAGGUCCGCGCUUCGGCUAGGAUGCUGGCGUAAUGGUCGUAAUCCGCCCGUCUUGAAACACGGACCAA